rnacentral:rRNA from 1 species
CAGUAGCGUAUAUUAAAGCUGUUGCGGUUAAAAGGCUCGUAGUUGGAUAUCAGUGCGUGUCCGGUCCGGUAUGCCCGGCGGCGGCGCUCGCGCGUCACUGCCGGGCUCCCAAAUAUCGGCUGGCCGCAUUCAAUCGUGCCGGAUCCGUCGACGGGCCGUUCUACGGAGGGGCCUGUUGGCGACCGGCGACGUUACCUUGAACAAAUUAGAGUGCUCAAAGCAGGCUCUGAAUGCCUGUAUACAUAUUCAUGGAAUUGGAGAAUACGUCCCUGGCUCGAUUUGGUUGGUUUUGAGAGUCGAAGGGAAAUGAUUAAUAGGGACUGACGGAGGCAUUCGUAUUGCGACGCGAGGGGUGAAAUCCUGUGACCGUCGCACGACGAACUACUGCGAAAGCAUUUGCCGAGAAUGUUUUCAUUAG